GGCAAGGUGACUCCCCCUGUUUCACACUCCGCUCCGUGUUAGGGACGGAGGCCCAGGCGGCAGUGCAGCCUCUGGGGAGACGCGUGUCCCCCAGGCUCAGUUCCACCCCCAGUGACGUGCCCAGUGCCGGCCCCUGAACACGACACUCACUCGUGCUGGGCAGACGGAAUGCAGGAUGGUGCCUGCCACUCAGAGAAAGGCGGAGGCCGUAAGGAUCAUGCCCAUUGAUCAAGUGCUUACUGUGUUCCUGACGUGGUUCUAAGUGCCCACCGUAUGUUGACUCAAUGAGUUCUCACAAGAGCCCUACAAGGUGGAUUCUUUACCAACUGAGCUACCAGUGAAGCCCUGGAAAGCUCAACAAAGUCGUCAAGUACCAUCAAGGACCCAGGUCCCACCACCCUGCUGUAUUGCCAUCCUCAGAGGACUAGGUGUCCUCAGCACAUCCCUUCCCUGUUCCAAGGAGGCUGCCGUGGCUUCAAGCUUCUCAUCUCCAGAGGAUACGGUUCAACAGAGCCAGGAAAGAGGCCGGAGUGAAACAAAGAAUACAAAUAAAUUUAAAAUUUUUAAAGGCUUUUUUGCCGUGUUGACUAUCUUAUUUACCCAAACAUAUUUGGACAGCAAGGAGAUCCAACCAGUCCAUCCUAAAGGAAAUCAGUCCUGAAUAUUCAUUGGAAGGACUGAUGUUGAAGCUGAAACUCC